GACAGCAGCCGCCACGGGAAUACGUAGGGUCCGAGCGUUGUCCGGAAUUAUUGGGCGUAAAGGGCUCGUAGGCGGUUUGUUGCGUCGGGAGUGAAAACACCAGGCUUAACUUGGUGCUUGCUUUCGAUACGGGCAGACUUGAGGCAUGCAGGGGAGAACGGAAUUCCUGGUGUAGCGGUGAAAUGCGCAGAUAUCAGGAGGAACACCGGUGGCGAAGGCGGUUCUCUGGGCAUGUUCUGACGCUGAGGAGCGAAAGUGUGGGGAGCGAACAGGAUUAGAGACCCCCGUAGUCCCUGUCUCUUAUAC
rnacentral:rRNA from 1 species